rnacentral:tRNA from 1 species
GGCCUGUUGUCGAAAUUGGUAGACGAACUUGACUCAAAAUCAAGCGCUUGUGAGAGCAUGCCGGUUCGAGUCCGGCACGGGCCA